ACCUCCUCAAGCAGCGCACACAAA
rnacentral:piRNA from 1 species